GCUGGGAACUCUGGGAGACUGCCGGUGAUAAACCGGAGGAAGGCGGGGAUGACGUCAAGUCCUCAUGGCCUUACAUCCCGGGCCUACACACGUGCUACAAUGGCAGGUACAGAGGGCUGCAAUGCCGCAAGGUGGAGCUAAUUCCUAAAACCGUUCUACAGUUCAGAUUGCAGGCUGCAACUCGCCUGCAUGAAGAUGGAAUCGCUAGUAAUCGCGGAUCAGCUACGCCGCGGUGAAUACGUUCUCGGGCCUU
rnacentral:rRNA from 1 species